AUGCAUUCUUGUUCUGACCUUGAACAUUUAGGUUCCCUACAUUUGGGUUAGUCUUUGAAUGUUUACUGUCUACCAUCUAUCAUAUUCUUUGUUUCUUUCGUCAUUCAAUAAAAACGUUCCCAUUUCCAUAAAGGAACUGAAAGAUGCCCUAUAUUUUUGCAGCAAACAAUGUAUAAAAAAGGACAUUUAGUUGGAUAACACACGGUGGAUUUGUGCUAUUGUAGUGCUUUGUUUUUCUGCAAGUAUAGCCAAAUUCUUGGUAUGAUUAUCUCUCACCUAGCAUUGUGUAAGGAAUUGUGGACAGUUAUAUAUUUUUCACCUGAGUCCUGGUGAUCGAAUUUCCACAGCACGGGAUGCAGUUCAAUAAACUUCUGUCGAGAUUACUUAAGUUCACUAUGGAGUAUGGAGGCUACCUUUGCAUUUACGAUGACUUUGUGCAUCUGUGAUCUGAGUACCCAUGCUCAAACCUUGUGUGAUCCUUUCGGCAGCCAACGGGAGUUCUUAUGGUGAUGUGCCCUCACAGCUCUUAAUCUAUGUCAUGUUCUAAUGGAGUGCCUCUGUCUCGUGGCAACUAAUCACAAUGCUCCCUUUUCACAAGUAUGCGACAUAGGAAAAAUAUAUGUACUGUUUUUCCUAUUUGUGUUGCUACACUAGCAAACUUGCAAGUUUUUAAAGCAUUCA